CCUACGGGAGGCAGCAGUGGGGAAUAUUGGACAAUGGGGGCAACCCUGAUCCAGCCAUACCGCGUGUGUGAAGAAGGCCUUCGGGUUGUAAAGCACUUUCAGCGAGGAGGAAAGGUUGAUGGUUAAUACCCAUCAGCUGUGACGUUACUCGCAGAAGAAGCACCGGCUAACUCCGUGCCAGCAGCCGCGGUA
rnacentral:rRNA from 1 species